rnacentral:rRNA from 1 species
UUCCGGUUGAUCCUGCCGGAGGUCACUGCUAUUGGGAUUCGACUAAGCCAUGCGAGUCGAGAGGGUUCGGCCCUCGGCUGACGGCUCAGUAACACGUGGAUAAUCUGCCCUUAGGUGGAGGAUAAUCUCGGGAAACUGAGGAUAAUACUCCAUAGAUCUAGGAUGCUGGAAUGCAUCUAGAUUGAAAGCUCUGGCGCCUAAGGAUGAGUCUGCGGACUAUCAGGUUGUAGUCAGGGUAAAGACCUGACUAGCCUACGACGGAUACGGGUUGUGAGAGCAAUAACCCGGAGACGAUAUCUGAGACACGAUAUCGGGCCCUACGGGGCGCAGCAGGCGCGAAAACUUCACACUGUGCGAAAGCGCGAUGAGGGAAUCCCAAGUGUUUGCUCGUAAGAGUAAACUGUUUCUUUGUUUAAAACGCAGUGAGAGUAAGGGCUGGGUAAGACGGGUGCCAGCCGCCGCGGUAAUACCUGCAGCUCAAGUGGUGAUCAUUAUUAUUGGGCCUAAAACGUCCGUAGCCGGUUUAGUAAAUGCCUGGGUAAAUCGUGUAGCUUAACUAUACGACUUCCGGGUAGACUGCUAAACUUGAGACCGGGAGAGGCUAGAGGUACUCCUGGGGUAGAGGUGAAAUUCUGUAAUCCUAGGGGGACCACCAGUGGCGAAGGCGUCCAACUGGAACGGAUCCGACGGUCAGGGACGAAGCCCUGGGUCGCGAACUGGAUUAGAUACCCAGGUAGUCCAGGGUGUAAACGCUGCAGACUUGGUGUCGGAGGUCCUACGAGGGCGUCCGGUGCCGGAGAGAAAUUGUUAAGUCUGCCGCUUGGGGAGUACGUCCGCAAGGAUGAAACUUAAAGGAAUUGGCGGGAGAGCACCGCAACGGGAGGAGCGUGCGGUUCAAUUGGAUUCAACGCCGGG